rnacentral:rRNA from 1 species
GGAUUAGGCAUGCAAGUCGAACGAGACUGAUUUCUUCGGAUUGAAAGUCUAGUGGCGAAAGGGUGAGUAAUGCAUGGAUCACCUACCCUCGGGUCUGGGACAACAGCUGGAAACGGCUGCUAAUACCGGAUUGUCUAGAGAUAGUAAAGGCGGGGACCUUCGGGCCUGUCACCUGAGGAGGGGUCCAUGUCCUAUCAGCUUGUUGGUGGGGUAACGGCUCACCAAGGCUUAGACGGGUAGCCGGUCUGAGAGGAUGGUCGGCCACACUGGGACUGAGACACUGCCCAGACUCCUACGGGAGGCUGCAGUCGAGAAUCUUCCGCAAUGGACGAAAGUCUGACGGAGCGACGCCGCGUGCGGGAUGAAGGCCUUCGGGUUGUAAACCGCUGUCACACGUUAAGAACAAGCAUUAGUUAAUACCUGAUGCUCUGACAAAAGCGUGAGAGGAAGCCACGGCUAACUUCGUGCCAGCAGCCGCGGUAAGACGAAGGUGGCAAGCGUUGCUCGGAAUUACUGGGCAUAAAGAGCGCGUAGGUGGCGUGGUAAGCGAGGAAUGAAAUCCCAUGGCUCACCCAUGGAACUGUUUCUCGAACUGCCAUGCUUGAGGGCGAGAGGGGAAAGUGGAAUUCCUGGUGUAGCGGUGAAAUGCGUAGAUACCAGGAGGAACGCCGGUGGCGAAAGCGACUUUCUGGCUCGACCCUGACACUGAGGCGCGAAAGCUAGGGGAGCAAACAGGAUUAGAUACCCUGGUAGUCCUAGCCGUAAACGAUGGGCACUAAGUAGAGGGGUUUU